UACGUAGGGGGCAAGCGUUGUCCGGAUUCAUUGGGCGUAAAGAGCUCGUAGGCGGUUCGAUAAGUCGGGUGUGAAACCUCCAGGCUCAACCUGGAGACGCCACCCGAUACUGUCGUGACUAGAGUCCAGUAGGGGAGCGUGGAAUUCCUGGUGUAGCGGUGAAAUGCGCAGAUAUCAGGAGGAACACCAGUGGCGAAGGCGGCGCUCUGGGCUGGAACUGACGCUGAGGAGCGAAAGCGUGGGGAGCGAACAGG
rnacentral:rRNA from 1 species